UCUUUGUACAGCUACGUGUUAGGGUUCGAUCAUCUCUUUGUCAAUGUCGAUUAUCUCUAGAUUCACCUGUUAACAAAAGGAAGCGAAGAAAGCAACUCACAAGGGGGAAAAUUCUAAAGAGAUAAUACAAGAGAAGAGCGGCUGAAGUAAAAGAAAAAGGUAUUCAUUAUCUUUAACAUUUACUUGACAGUGACAACUUGUAUUUUGCUGCAGAAAUGGCUCGAAUAUGGGCAUAGGUUAUGAUUAAGCCGCUUGCAUUAAGUUAAGCCACGCCAAGGAGAUGGACCUGUGUGAUUUAUUCAGUAUUUCCAAUUGGAACAAUUAAUAAGGUAAGAUUUCCUGUCAUCAUAUAAGCUUAAUUUCCUGCUUCUAUGCUGUUUGGUUUACCUGAUUGUGUCGUUUAUUGUAUCUAUUACAUGCUUGCAAUGAGAAUUAAAUUAUACUCCAAUCAGGAUAGGACAUAGACUUCUUUACUUUAGCACAAUGCCAAUCCCAUGAUGCAUCAUUACGCAGGCAAGACAUUUAAAUCCUAAAAGAACAAGUACAGAGAAAAUUUAGGGCGCUGAGAAUAGUGUAUACUGUAGUUACGAGAUGUACGGCUCAAACAUAACUAGAACCGCUUCACAUGCAAGCUUUUGCAUUUCCACAUAUAUCUUGUUCUUGUUCAAUUUUCUACGGACGAGGAAUUUCUAAAAACUUGUGCUUUCUGCUGGUAAUACUAAAGUUUCUAACUUUUGCCAACAAAAUGGAAGUUGUCCUGUUAUCAAAGGAGAAACAUGGGUGGCUACAAAAUGAAGAAGAGCAAGAAUAAUUCAUGGGAAGCAGCACUAUUAUCUUCCUUCUUUGUUCUUUCCUUUCCCUCCUGUGGUAAUUUGGAACUGAUGGUUCCCUUGAAGGAUGUCUUUCAUUUUUGCCUUUUUUAUUAAUACAAGCAUCGGCUUCAGUAGUGAAUUCAUUAAAUAGGCAACUGGCAGCAAUCAACAGACAAAGUUUCUGAAAUUUUAGUUGUUGGUUUUGUUGUAUUUCUCUAAGAAAGGCAAAGAAUUCAAGACCAGUUUGAUAGAUCUAUAUUCAUUCUUAGUCCAUUCCCAAAUCCCAAUGGAUUGCCCACCAUAAAUGAAAUCCUUUUUUUCUAAACUUGCUCUACUUCUCUCUAAACUGUAAAUUUGAUAGUCUUUUUUUUUUCCUCAAAAAUAAUAGAUGAGGAGGAAUGUCAAAAGUCUCAUUGAUCACCAGGAACCUUUUCAAUUACUCCUAUUACACAUGGAGAGAACAUACACAUAUAUAAAAGAGCAUCCAGAGCUAAAAACUUUAAGAUUGACCGAUACAGAUAAUUUUCCUAAACCAAGUUGGAAGAAGAAGAAGAAAGAGUUGGAAGAAAGAUGAGAGGAGUUGGUAUUAAUAAGUUAUAUAGUGUUCCACAUCAGGUACAACAAGGCAUUUAAAGGGUCUACAUAUAUUUUGAGACUUUCCUCCCAUAGUGUCUCAUUCCAUUUAUAGCAUAUCUUUUCAAGCUUGAACUAUGUAAAUACAAAUCGCAAAAAGGGAAGCCUGGGGUACUAAGCUCCAGGUAUGCGCAGGUUCUGGAAAAGGGCCAGACCAAUAUUUAAUAGAUCUAUUGUACAGUCUUACUUUGUAUUUCUGAAAGAGGUUGUUUCCAAACCCCUGGCCUCCUGGUCACACGACGACAACUCUUACCAUUGCGCCUAGGCUCUCGUUCCUUCUAGUAUAAAUAAAAUGUACAUGAAAUAUGAAAGUAUGUUCUAAUCCACUGUUGAGAUUUCUUGUGACAAGGUUUCAGAAUCCUGUACUUUCUUAGAGUGUCCGAGUAGGCUAAGAGAUGCCUCAUCAGCAACAACCUGAUCAAGUUCAGUAGCUGCUGAUUGGUCCUCAAGAAUAUCGUUAGAAUGUCCUAAUGGUUCAUCUGUACUAAUAAAAUGGCACCAGUUUUUCUCCUUUGCAUGAACUAUGGCAGGAUACAAGAAUAACCCCAGAAUAAUGACUGAGCCACUUACUAUAUAUGUCUUUAACGAAGCCAGAUACAUGACAAAAAGAAGCAACAAAGCUGGUGGAAGGCAAAUCGCCGUUGCUCCAAAUGUUUGAAAGGGGACCUUAUAAGGUCUGUGAAGAUCAGGCUUCACUAUCCUUAAUUUUAUGAAGGCUGCAAACUCGAGAAGCAUUCCUACU
rnacentral:lncRNA from 1 species